UUUCCGUGGUGUUUGGCAUCUCUCCAUUUAUUUAAGUAAGCCCAUGUUUGAUUUCAAAACUGAAGUUUUACAUACAACUCUCUGAACAGGGUUUGAAUAGGCAGGUAUUUCCUUAAUAAUUCGUGGUCACCUGGUGAUGCUGAAACUGUACAUUCACAACCUGGCAGGACUCCCCAGUGGACUGCAGCUGCUCUGGGCAUCCUUCAGGUCCAGUGAGAGAUACAGUGUGGGCAAAGUGCAAAACCAGAGAGUCAUGGAGGUUGGUGAGCUGUCCUGUCGGAAGCUUGUGUUGUGAUCUGGGAAGUUUAGAUCUGGAUUUGAAUUUCACAGCUCAGGACUGUCUUUAUAAUGGCCCCAACUACAACGUAAAUGUCACUCUCCACCCCAAACUUUGGGUCACGUUAGCUUCAGCUCUGAACUCAAUAAUAGAUUCAUGAGAAUUUUUGAGAUUUUUUUUAAAAAAAAUCUGUCACAAAUUGGGACAAAAUUUGAAAUCUCAGAAAUUGUCAUGAAUCAAUAACAAUGCAUUCUUUACAAUAUGCCUUGAAUUUUAUGUUUUAAAAAAAGAAUGAACAGUUUAGCUACCAACCAAAUUAAAAAAAAAAAAACGAGAAGAAAACCCAAACCAGCCUCUGACUCCUGAUAUACAAAUAGUAGAGAAGUAAACCAAAUGACAGUAAUUUUGUUUUCAAUGUGAUAAAGAUUUUGCCUUGA